rnacentral:tRNA from 3 species
ACCCUCGUAGCUUAAUGGCAAAGCUCCUCUCUUUUAAAGAGGCGACCGCAAGAUCGGUACUUGUCGGGGGUA